rnacentral:lncRNA from 10 species
CUGGGAUUACAGGAGUUGAGUCACAGCGCGCGGCCUGCCUCCAGAUUUUAAAAACUCUAUACACAUCUAUUAGGGAACUAACCAUUUUCCAAUUUGAUAAAAAUCUUUGUUUUACUUCUUGAUGUUUAAUCCUACUUAUGUUUUCAUUCUCCAAUAUGUUGAAAGAAUGGGUCAUCAAUAAAUAGUCUGAAGAUAAACUUUCCAAACUGCUAAAACUCAAGAAGCGUUCAUGACUGGAACCUGUUUGAAAAAGGAGCAAAUCAACUUUACAUAAUCUUGUUGGAAGAAAGAGGCAUUUUUACCUG